rnacentral:pre_miRNA from 14 species
CCCGCGGUCGGUAGUUGGGGGAUGGGAACGGCUUCAUACAGGAGUUGAUUGCACAGUCAUCCAGCUCCUAUAUGAUGCCUUUCUUCAUCCUCUUCAA